UACGUAGGGUGCGAGCGUUGUCCGGAAUUAUUGGGCGUAAAGAGCUCGUAGGCGGUGUGUCGCGUCGGCCGUGAAAACCUGCAGCUUAACUGUGGGCUUGCGGUCGAUACGGGCAUCACUGGAGUUCGGCAGGGGAGACUGGAAUUCCUGGUGUAGCGGUGAAAUGCGCAGAUAUCAGGAGGAACACCGGUGGCGAAGGCGGCCCGCUGGGCAGGAAGACACCGCAAGGUGUCGGCUGACGCUGAGGCGCGAAGGCGUGGGGGAGCGAACGGG
rnacentral:rRNA from 1 species